UAUGUAUGCAUGUAUAGAAGACCAGUAUGCAGUAUUUUACCUGUAAUAUGCCCAACAUGUACUUUAAUUUGAAUUUUCGAAUGCAGUGGAACCACGAGAAAUCUUCGAGUUAUCCGAGUUAUCCGGACAGAAAGACAAAAGUGGGUAUAUUUUAAGACACUGACCAUGAAGUAUAUUUAUCCUUCAGUGCUUAGCAAACAUGGUAGAAUUGACGUUUUAUCCGAUUUAAUAGACAGCACUGACCGGCGACUGUUUCAUUUCUAAACGUAGAUAAGUUCCGCUUGAGCGAGCGGGUAGAUGAAUUGUUGACUAUCGUGUGUACUGUUAUCGGCGACCGCCUUAAAUCUCUAUAAAAACCGCCCAAGGGGGAGGCAGACAAAUCGUCACUAUAGAACGGUUGCUUAAGUUAUAGUAAUUGAAUGACUAGACGAGUGUAUUGCGAGAUAUUUCGGUGGGCGGGAACGAGUAACGCCCACCGAAAUAUCGAGUGUACACGAGUCUAGGACAUUCAAUAAAAUGGCUUGUAUCAUUGCCCGUCCAUCGGCUGUCAUUAAACUUCUAAAAACCAAUCAGAAUUGUCUCGGGUUUCUGAUUGAAUUCCCGCCAAAAACAAUCAACGAUCAAUUAGGAGUACAUUUCCCGCCAAAAACGUUAUCAGUUACAUGUAGUUCAAUGCGCACCCGACUUUGUAAGCGGUAAGCAGCAGGAUGUCAACCCCUUCAGCUAGCUUAAUGGUCAGUUUAAAGUACAGGGAUUUCCUUUCAUUACAAGGGGAUGAUUUUGACGACAUUGUGUUAUCUUAAGCAUUCAAGGAUAUAGAAAACGAAGUGAAAGUUUUUGAUGGGAUUUCCGACAUGUCGCUGACACCUAACGGGAAGGGGAUGCAAAACAUAUUUAGGAAUACACCACAUUACCAGCAAGAACAGACAUUAUUACAACCAAGAAGGUGACCGAUGUAUUCCGGAGUACUUCGAUAUGUACAAUGAUGUUUAUACAGGAGACUUCUCGGAGGAACCCCCAUUUGUUAUGGAAGACAGGUCGUCGGUGUAAACAAACCAAAACAACAUGUGAAAGUGAAAGGAAAUUACACACAAUUUACACUAUUGUACAAAUGCGGCGAACUGGACAACUGUUACACGUUAUGUUAAAUUUGUAAACAGGGAAUCGUAUACAUAAUAUUUGUAACCAAACAUGUUUUUUUCAAGUUUUAAUAACACCUAUGUACUACAGACCCUAUUCGGCAUUGAUACAAAAACAUCCAGAUCGCUGUAAACACUUGCGCUUGACCAGAAAAAAAUCAAACGUUACAAUGUUUAUUUUACUCACCUGUAUGUAAUUGGGUCUUAAAACGACCAACAGCCACAUAAUUAUUUUAAUACAAUGAUUAAUAAAACAAAACUGUACGGUUAUUACAAUGUUCAAGCCCAGAUAGGCCUAGAUAAUCUGAUCACUUGUGUAUUAAUCCGUCACAGCGCCACCUAGGAAGGGCGAUCACACGUAACGGUAAAACCAAAAUCCGGCACGAACAAUGAAGGACUGGAUGUUUAUUUUACCUUCCGGUCAGUGCAAAGUUUUCUAAGAGAUUAAUAGCCAUUCUUCUCACCUGUGGAUACACUGGUCAGUAAACAAAAGAUCGAUAAUUACGUAUACACACGCAAAUGGCCAGUUUGACACGAAUUACCGUAAGCUGUUCACGGCUCGGUGCACCAGGUAAAUUUUUAGACACGACCAACUGGUCAUAAUUGUGGGGGUAAUUAACGUGAAUUAGUGGUCGUUGAGACUGGACAAGGUGGUCGUAAUAGUGAAGCGACCAAUACAAUGAUAUAGAGAGAAAAAAUCGGGACUGAAAAAAAAGUGCCCGUAAUAGCGGGGUGGUCGUAAGGUGAGGUUUCACUGUAUAAUAUAUAGAGGACACGGCCUUCAGCUUUAAUUUUCUGUGAUCGGAUUGACAUGAGGACACUGAAGUUUAAUAAUUACAUUAAAUAGAACUAACAUUGACUUUUUGCAUAGACAAAUUGGAAAUGAUUGUAUGCCUUGAAGUUUUUGUUUCAUUAAAGUUGAAAAUUACGGAAAUAAACUAAUGGUUCUGUGAGUUUUUGACUGUAUACGUUGCUGUAUACCUUCGGUAGCCAAUAACAUCCAAAUUUGGGGAGUUAGUGUACACUUUGAUGUACAACAACUUCCUAGUAUGUGAAGUUAUUGGACAACUAAGCUCCGCCUCUUAACUGGGUAUUGGGAUUUAUUGUACACGCAACUUCACAGGAAAAAUGAUACACACUUACUGUUCAUAACACUGAUAAUACUGAUUGAUACUUUUUGUGUUGACAAUCAGGGUAAUUUCAUGCAAGGCCAGUAUCGUUGCUUUAUUAUAACAAAAUUAUUAACGCAAAUCCAUAUAAAAAGAUAUUUAAACUUUAAUUUAAACCUUUAGUUAUAGGCUGUAAUAAUUUGAAUAACGAUUUAAUUAAACAUUGAAAUAACUUCCCUAUAAUGAAAUCUGCAUAAAUGGUUAUAUCUGCAUUGCUAACUUCACUUUGAAAUAUCUUUUUUUUUCAAAUUUUUGCUAAGAAAAACAUAAUUAAAAACUUAUGAAAUCAAUGCUGUAAAUAGACCCCUGUGGAGAACCUAUUUAAUUGAAAUGCAGAGGGACCUCACCAGGUGUUCCGAUUGACACACCUGAUGACCAAUUUUCACGUAUGCCUCCGGGUAUAGAAGAAGUGGUGGUAGGCCGAUCUUCACGACUCGGUGCACAAAUAUAAUAAAGUGGAGUCUCUAAUCCAACUUGUA